rnacentral:rRNA from 1 species
UGACGCAGCGACGCCGCGUGAAGGAUGAAGGUCUUCGGAUUGUAAACUUCUUUUGUUGGGGACGAUAAUGACGGUACCCGACGAAUAAGCCACGGCUAACUCUGUGCCAGCAGCCGCGGUAAGACAGAGGUGGCAAGCGUUGUUCGGAAUUACUGGGCUUAAAGGGCGCGUAGGUGUCCCGGCAAGUCAGAUGUGGAAUCUUUCCGCUUAACGGGAAAAUUGCAUCUGAAACUGUCGGGAUUGAGUCAGCGAGGGGAUGGCGGAAUUCCAGGUGUAGCGGUGAAAUGCGUAGAUAUCUGGAGGAAGGCCGGUGGCGAAGGCGGCCAUCUGGCGCUGAACUGACACUGAGGCGCGAAAGCGUGGGGAGCAAACAGGGUUAGAUACCCUGGUAGUCCACGCCCUAAACGGUGGAUACUAGGUGUAGGGCUCGUAAGGGUUCUGUGCCGAAGGGAAACCAUUAAGUAUCCCGCCUGGGGAGUACGGCCGCAAGGUUG